GUUAAAUUCCAUUCGUUUCGGUUAAAAUUUGCAAAAAUGGGCCCUAAAUAACCCCCCUAUUUCGGCCCCCCUUUGAGAGGUUUUUUUUAAAGCUUAGUUUCUCGACAAAAUUCUCUUAAACUUACUCAUACCGAAUUUCAUCGAAAUCGGUCCGGUAGUUUUUGCUGGGCAGUGGCGACAUACGUACGUGCGUACAUACGUACGUACGCAUGAUACACUGUGUUAUUGUAUCAUGGUACGUACAUACUUCCGACAUGUUUUUUUUAUUUGCUUUUUAGACUCAGGGGGACUCAAAACGUCGAAAAAAAGUGAAAUCUGAAAAAAAAAUUUUUGCACGAUCCUAUAAUUUUAUCUAUUAUACUAUACUACGUAUAUAGUACGAUAAAGUAAAAAUUGCAGGUAAUGUUACACAAGAUCAGUAUAGCCCAUGGCAUUUCGUCAGCUGAAAUUAACAUUGACCGUUGUAGCCUCCGGCAGAGUAUUAUAAAUAUAUUCAAGAAUACACCUUUACCUUUCCCACAUAUUGUAACGGUUUUAUAUUAUUGAAACGUAUGUGGCCAGGCGAUCAAAGUGUUUAGGUGAUAUUAUGUUCAUUUACGACUAGUUAUAGUAUAGACCUGUAGUCCACAGAUGGCAUUGUACUAUUACUCUCAAAUAGUAUAUAAUAUUUCGUAUGAAAGGACGCCAAAUUUUGUUUUUCCCGGGGCGCUCAAAAACCUAGAACCGGCCCUGUCUGCAUAUGUGGCUGUGAUGAUAUUUUGACUUGUAAGAAGAUCUGCUGUGUAGAGAACAGGUUCAAGGACACUACCCUGAGGUACUCCAAUUUUAACUGGAUAUGGUUAGUGCACUGAUGGUUUACUUUUACAAGGAAAUGGCGGUCGGAAAGAUAGGAUUUGAGGAUUAGAAAGUAGUUAAGUUGCUUAGUUCGUGGAUGGCAUUGUUUGCUGCAUCUUGGUAGGAGAAUGUAUAAAAAUAAAAUAUAAAUGCAACAAA